UCCCUGGAUCGGUAUGCUGACACACACAGUACUCAAGGAUUUAUAACAGAGGUGAAUGAGGUUUUCAAAUGUUGGAAGGAGGAGGACAAUAGGAACUUCUGUUAUGUCUUAGCAUCUAAAUUUCUGUGUUAAUUUUCUUUGUCGUAGAAUAGUUUUGUUUGGCAGUUACUGUUCCUCGGAUGUAAAGAUAUCUUAGAUAUGUAUUGCUGGAAUGAAUGGUUGUAAUAUAAUAACAUUGCACGUUGCUUUGAAAAUGUAUCAGAACUGGGCUAGGCCCAAGAUAGCUUGUGGUGUGAUGUGUUGUAA